rnacentral:sRNA from 1 species
UAACCAAACAAAUAAAGAAAGCCUCAGAAUUGCAGAAGUAUCAGC